AUUGAACGCUGGCGGCAGGCCUAACACAUGCAAGUCGAACGAGUGGCGGACGGGUGAGUAAUGUCUGGGAAACUGCCCUAUGGUGGGGGUUAACUACUGGAAACGGUAGCUAAUACCGCAUACCAUCAGAUGUGCUCAGAUGGGCGUAGCUUGUUGGUGGGGUAACGGCUCACCAAGGCGACGAUCCCUAGCUGGUCUGGGAGGAUGACAGGCGACACGGGAACUGGGACACGCUCCAGACGCCUACGGGAGGCAGCAGUGGGGAAUAUUGCACAAUAGGCGCAAGCCUGAUGCAGCCAUGCCGCGUGUAUGAAGGAGGCCUUCGGGUUGUAAAGUACGUUCAGCGGGGAGGCGUUACCCGCAGAAGAAGCACCGGCUAACUCCGUGCCAGCAGCCGCGGUAAUUC
rnacentral:rRNA from 1 species